rnacentral:lncRNA from 1 species
GGGAUUUAGACUGCCUCUGGUUCUCUUUGUUAAAGCAUCUUCCCCCUGCCAUCCCACUAUCAUGAGAUGUAGUCAGGGAUAAACAUGCCUGUGGAUGCCACAGACUCCUGGAGUGGACACAGAUGUGGAUGCAUUUUAAUCCGUGCUAACUGGUAUUAAGGAAAGACCACGGUUCUAAGUGGACAUAUAGUCAAAGAGCCCAAGGCUGGAGGCUGGAGAGAAUCUCCCCCGGAGUGAGAGCUGAAGGAGUGACAGCUAGCUGCAGUGUGGGGGACUGAGCUGGAGUGAGGGACCUUCCUCUCUGUGCAAGUCUAUCCUAUCUCAGUAGAAGACUGCCUUCUUGUUGCGCUCAGGGGACAAAGUCGGCAGAGAUUUCGUUCUCAGUGACAUAUGGCCGUCCAUUUUAGUCCUUAUUCACACAGAAAUUUCCUUCGAGGGAUAAAAGAAGAGAAGAGAAAGCAGUCAAACUUCGGGAGGAAAGUGAAAACCCUCCCCAGAUGAGAAGACAGAUGGGACAUAGGAGGUGGUAGCUAGAGGGUUGGGAGGGAGAUGCCGAAGAUAACACCCAGUCUCUGCAACGAGGCUGGACUAUUUUUACACGUAUCAUACAGAUUGUUCAACUGUGGUCUGGGCUAUAAACUGUCAUUCUUCAGUGUGGGGAGGCAAUGCAUGCUGGGAUCCUGAAGAGUCAAACACAUCUCCAAUCACGUGAUUGCUAACCAAAUGCUGACACGAUCAACCUUCACCCAUGAAUGGACUACACGUGAGAAGAUGAUAUGAACCUUCUGCUCUCUUUGGCAGAA